GAUGAACGCUGGCGGCGUGCUUAACACAUGCAAGUCGAAUGGGAAAACUUUUAUUGAAGCUUCGGCAGAUUUAGCUGGUUUCUAGUGGCGGACGGGUGAGUAACGCGUGGGUGACCUGCCUUAUACAGGGGGAUAACAGUCAGACAUGGCUGCUAAUCCCGCAUAAGCGCACAGAGCUGCAUGGCUCAGUGUGAAACACUCCGGUGGUAUCAGAUGGACCCGCGUGGGAUUAGCUGGUUGGUUGGGUAACGGCCCACCAAGGCGACGAUCCAUAGCCUGCCUGUGUGAGUGGCCGGCCAGAUUGUGACUGACGCACGGCCCAGACUCGUACGGGAGGCAGCAGUGGGAAAUAUUGCACAGUGGGGGAAACCCUGAUCAACCGACGCCGCGUGAAGGAAGAAGUAGCUCGGUAUGUAAACUUCUAUCAGCAGGGAAGAUAAUGACGGUACCUGACUAAGGAGCCCCGGCUAACUACGUG
rnacentral:rRNA from 1 species